AUAAAAAUAAUUUUUAUUUAUAUUUUUUUAAAAUUUUAUUUUAAUUUAAUAAAUUAAAAUUUUAUGUUAAUAAAAAUUUUAAUUAAUUUUUAAAUUUAUAAAAAUUUAAUUUUUCAUAUUAUUAAUAAAAAAGAAUAAUUUAUUUUUUUUUCCUUUUGUAUCAGGAUUAAUUAAAAAAUAAUAUAUAAUUAUAUUUUUCUCGAAUUUAAAAAAUUUAAAUUUUUAUUUUUAUUAAUAUAAAAUUAUUAAAUAAAAUAUAAAUUUAGAAACUAUAUAUUAAACAAUUUUAAAUAUAUCUAGUUAUUUAAAAAAUAAAUUUAAUUUAUUUUUAAUUUUUUAUUAAUUUUAAUUAAAAAUUAAUAUUAAUUUUAAAAAAAUAAUUUAAGGGAUAAACUUUAAUUUUUUUUUAUAAAUUAAAUUAAUAAAUUUUAUAAUUUAAAAAUAAAAUUAUUUUUAAUUAAAAAAUAUUUAAUAAUUUUAUAAAAUAUAAAUUAAAAUUUAAAUAAAAUUUUAAUUAAUUAUUAAAUUAUAAAAUUUAAUUAUUAAAUUUUAAAAAUAAUGAUUAAAUUAGUAAUAUUAAAUUUAUUAAAUUUUAUAAUUUUUAAAUUUAAAAUUAAAUUUAAUAAACUUGGCAAAUUUUAUAUUCACCUGUUUACCAAAAACAUGUCUUAAUGAAAAUAAUUUUAAGUCUAAUCUGCUCAAUGAAUAAUUUUAAAUAGCUGCAGUAUAAAUAACUGUACAAAGGUAGCAUAAUAAUUUGUUUUUUAAUUGAAAACUAGAAUGAAUGAUUAAAUGAAAUAUAAACUAUAUCAAAUUUAAAAAAUAAAUUUAUUAUUUAAAUAAAAAAAUUUAAAUAAUUUUUAAAGACGAGAAGACCCUAAAGAAUUUUAAUAAUAAAUUAUAAUAUUAUAUAAUAAUUUAUUAUAUUAAUUGGGGAAAUUUUAAAAUUUAAAAAAUUUUUAAUUAAAUAAACAUAAAUUUUUGAAUACUUAAAAUUUUUUUAAAAAAUUAAAUAAAUUACCUUAGGGAUAACAGCAUAAUUUUUUUAAAAAGUUCAAAUUUAUAAAAAAGUUUAUGACCUCGAUGUUGAAUUAAGAUUAAAUUUAAUAGAAAAAUAUUAAAAAUUUAAGUCUGUUCGACUUUUAAAAUCUUACAUGAUUUGAGUUAAGAUCGGUGUAAGCCAGAUCGGAUUCUAUCUUAAAAAUAAUUAAAUAUUUUUGUACGAAAGGAAUUUAUAUUUAAAAUAAUUUUUUUAAAUAAAUUAAUUAUUAAUU
rnacentral:rRNA from 1 species